UACGGGGGGGGCAAGCGUUGUUCGGAAUUACUGGGCGUAAAGGGCCAGUAGGCGGCCAACUAAGUCGGAUGUGAAAUCCCCAGGCUUAACCUGGGAACUGCAUCCGAUACUGGAUGGCUUGAAUUCGGGAGAGGGAUGCAGAAUUCCAGGUGUAGCGGUGAAAUGCGUAGAUAUCUGGAGGAAUACCGGUGGCGAAGGCGGCAUCCUGGACCGACAUUGACGCUGAGACGCGAAAGCGUGGGGAGCAAACAGG
rnacentral:rRNA from 1 species